GAUUUUGCAGCAAGUGAGAGAAGACAGUUGGAAAGCCAGUCCAUGGAUAGUAGGGGGGUGGCCAAUAUUGAGGCGAUUCCUUCCUGCUCAAAAUGUCAUCCAACUGCUGAGUCCAGGCCAGGGCAGGAAGCAAAGACCACCAGCAGCCAGGGCUGCAGGGUUGGGGUGUCCUGGCCUCAGGAGGAGGGGUGCGUGGGCCCAGGCUGCCACCCUUGGAGCCAGGAGCAGCCCGCACAGUCCCUGGUUUCCUGGCGGCUCUCAAGCAGGAGGCCCGAGCUGCUAGCUCAGCAGUUUUCCCUCAGCCAGAAGAACCCCGCUCUCUUUCUGAAAGUAAUGAUUUUCUAAAAAUGGAUUCCCUCCCCUCCCCCAGCUGCAAUUAAUCUACCCAACACAAAGUGGCCGCUGGAGGAGGACUCUGGGACCUGGAAGAUAUGUUUUAGGAUGAUGGAGACAGAAGAUGGAAAAGCGUUCGGAUCCUGAAUGGCUGCUCUGGAGAGCCCCUGGGCCCGCUGCAGACUUUGUUUGAAUGUGGAACUUUUUCUUUGUGGCUGAGAUUUGGAGGUUUGCCUAUCCAGAUGAUUAUGUGACCUGUGCCCCACACUCAGUCCCUUGCAGAAUCUGGCUUGCUUCUUUCUUUUAUGGAGGAUUGUUUUGCUUAUUUUGGGUCCCUUGCAAUUUCAUCCAAAUUUUAGAAUCAGCUCGUCAUUUUCUACAAAGAAGUCAGCUGGGAUUCUGACAGGGAUUGCAUUGAAUCGGCAGGUGAACUUGGAGAGUACUGACAUCUCGGUGAUGUAAAGUCUUCCUAUCUAUGAAUAAAGGACUGUUUUUCCAGUUAUUUAGACCUUCUUUAAUUACUUUCAAGGCUUUUUAUUUUUCAGAGUAUCAGUUUUACCCUUUUUUGUUGUAUUUAUUUCUAAGUUAUUCAUUCUUUU
rnacentral:lncRNA from 10 species